CAGAUGUGCUUUGAAAUGACAGAUAUUCCUUUUCAAUUUAGGACCGCCUCUCAAGAUGUGCACGAUCAUGUCAGGAUAAAAUAUAGGACAAAAAUUACAAGAAGAGAUGAAGGUUUGUGUAGAUGAAUGUUGUGAUACACAUUGUAAGCUUAUACCCAAAAUAUUUCAAAGAAUGAGUGAAACAUUUUGUCGAUUACAGCAGAUUGAUUAAAGAUUUUUCUUCAUACGAAAUAUUGGUAACUUUUAAACAGAAAAUAUGAUCGUGCUCAAACAUAUUUAGUGUAAAUAACUUUUAAAACUUUAUUGAAUAAUGAUUAGGUACUCAAAAA